UCUCAGGCAUCAAGGUUCAAGUCUGUGAAAGAAACCACCAACCCGUUGAUGAGGUGGCAGUGACUUUGGUGGAGCUGUCAGUUGAUGGUUCUAUUAUGGGUACUGUUGAAAUUAAGCUUCCUGAAGAAGGAGUAAGAGGCCUUGGUUCUAUUAUGGGAGAGGAACAAUAACUAUGACCUGGCUUUACUUACAUUUUAUUAUUGUUAAGACAUUGACCAAUUUGCAUUCGAUGUUGUGUGUUUACUUUAUUUAAUUAAAAACAAGAAGUAAACAAAGUUGAACAAAAAGAAAAGACUUGCAAUUUCCUCAACGAUAAACCUUCCCUUAAAGCACAUAAUAGUUAGCAAAUAACAGGGCAUUUUUCUUGCUUUUACUUUGACACACUAAUCCUUUUCCACUGUCUCUCUUUUUCUCUUUACUUCCCCCCUCCUCCCCUCUUGCGAUUCCACAUAUAUGAUGUAGCUAUCUGUGUCAUUACAGGUUUGCCCUAAUCACAUGAAACCACAUAUAUGAAACUACACAUGAAACGAGCUUCGAAGCCACCGUCGGUAUCGUGCAGCUCUGUUCCACCAUCGUGCAGCUACUGUUUCAGCUUUGAAAGCACCGUCGCGCAGCUCGGUUCCAUCGUCGCCGGGCUCGCCUCCUUUUUCCGUCGAGCAGCUCUGUUCCAUCAUCGCCGGCGCUAUCUCUGUUCCACCUGUCAUCCCUUCGGUCGUGCCCUUGUCCCCCUCUUGCUCAGGAUCUGCUCUGCUCUGUUCUAGGGCUUCUAGCUUCUAGUUUCCUGUGUCUAAUGUUCUUCUUAAUUCAGAUGUAGACCCUGCUAAAGUUUUUGAACUCAUUGGAACUUGCCUUGUGGAUAUGGCCAAAGUGGGAGUGAUUAGUGAAGAAAAAGUGGAUUCAUUCAAUGUGCCUUUGAUAUACCCUUCUGUUAAGGCUGUGAAGGAAAUUCUUAGAGGAUGUGAUGAAUGUUUCAGCAUUGAAUGGAUGGAAAUAUUGGAAUUCAAGAACAUGGUGUCAUUGCCAACUGUGCAAAUAUUUGUUUCAUGGUUCAGAGCUGCGCUGCAAGGGAUGAUUGAGAAACACUUUGGAGCAGAAAUAGUUGAUGAGCUUUUCGAACGCUUUGCCGAGAGAAAGUUAAAGAAUUUCCAGACAUCAUGGACACAGAUAAACUAAAACUUGAUGUGCUGUUUGUUCUUCUCAGGAGAAAGAACAAGGCAAGGCCAUAGGCUGUGUUAUACAAUGUGAACAUCAUCAGGUUUAAUUAGUAAAUGGGGAUAUAAUAAAGAGUUGGUUCCAUUCUUGUACUACUAAUGAUCUUAAACUGGAUAUUAAUGCUAAGAACAAAUUUAUACACGUUGAAUCUUGAUGUAGAUAAGAAACAAGUUUCUCACUUGCGUUUCAUGUUACUAUUAGGUCUAAUGGCUACAUACCAUGCCCAGAAUGAGUACUGCCUUUUUACGGAUAUGUCUCAACGGUAUCGAGUUUUUGCAAGCAUCAUCGCUCAGUUAGAGGAAGAUUGAGACUACUAGUUGAACUUUAUUCUAGCAUUCCACGGCCUAUGAAUAUGUCAUUGCUGCUAAAGCUGAAGGAAGACCUUAAGUGACUCUGUAUUCAUUGUAUGUAUGAAGUAGAAGUUUGGUGGUAUUGAUUUCUACACUAGUCUUACGAAAAUAGUUGACUUUGUACACUAUUAUCUAAGUUAUAUGUUGUUUUAUACUAUUACUAAUAUGUAUUUUCUUUUCCUUUUUGGGUGAUAUAUAGCACUCCAUGUGAGAAAAUGUUUAAUUAAAAUUUUCAGUUUUAUCUA